ensembl:lncRNA
AUGCGGCUUUGUCCCAAGGCUCUGGGUGGGUUGCACAGACAGCUGAGAUCCGCCGAGGAGGAUCAGCAACCUGUAAAAGUCUCUGAAAAUACACAUGCAUCCGUUUGCAGAACAAUGCAUGCACACUCCUCAGCAAUUACACUGCGACUGCACGUUACUGCAACGCUCUUACACCGCGUACACAAAGGGUGGAGCGGGUUUACCUGCUGGCCACGUGAUGGUGGCCGUGCUGAGGGCGGGGCGUACACGUCAUCGCGCAGCUGUGACGCAGAGCGUUCCGCCUCCCCGAGUUGGAGUCUGCGCAAUGCUGUUACUGUCUAUGGUUACACAGCAGCCCGGUCGCCUCAUUCCGACGAAAUCGAGUCAGGUUUUGGAAAACACGUCAGAUUUCAUUCCUGAAGAACACGCUCUCGAAGUCUCGCUGCUGAAAGUCCAAAGAUCUGUCGUAAUCAGAGUCUGACAUUGAGAAAACCCUCUCAUCAAAUGGGACAUUACUCUGCAUUGAGAAAUCGUGGCUUACGUCACAUGCCUCCAUUGAAACGUCUAAUCGCUCAGCGUACACCAGGUCCAUUAAAUAUUGCGUCGUGUUUCUUGGUGCCAUGGCUACUGUUAGGUGACGUUGAUUCCCCGUAGCUGUCCUGUCGACAUGGUCCGGACUCCGCUGCGGUCUCGUGGACGACCAGACGCGGACCCUUCUUCUCCUUUCGCCCAUAUUUGAGCGCAGAAAUGUCCUCCUCUUCGGUUUUGACCACUUUUUCUUGUGAACAGGCGCGGUCUUGAUGUCCUUCUGGUAGUUUCCUUUCAUUGUCGUGAUUUCAAGAAACAUUGCCAAGAAAAACAAAUAGUCUUUGGUUGUCUAAAAGUAAAUGACUUAUAAUAGUAUCAACUAGUGGUUAAAAUAGAACAAAGAAAGCUUUAAAUCCUUUUAAAAACCACUUCAACAAGAGACGCGAGAUUUAGCUGCUCGCUCUUCAACGGUCGAAACAAAAACGUGGCUAACGGACGUUUGUCUCACGUACUUAACGAACUUGCGGAAGUGACGUUUUCCGCUUCCAGCGAAUCAGCUUUCACCUCCUCUUCUUCGGCGGUGUUGCGACCAUGGAAAUAAACAGACAGUGCCCCGUUAGGAACUGUUGGUG